rnacentral:lncRNA from 1 species
AUUAAAUUCAACAUAUUUAAUAUGUUGAAUUUAGUGCCAUGUGGUUUCUUUUUUAUUUUUUUAUUAUCAAUUCUAUUAAUUUUUUUCGUGAAAUUAGUAACAAAGUUAAAACUAAAGGGUACUAAAGUGAAUAUUCGAUAAACUUAGGUGGACUAAUCUGAAGUUCUUUGUAUAUAAUUUAAUAAAAUAUUAACGAAAAAACUGACCAAAAGAUAAAAAUAAAAUCAUAGGACACUAACUUGAUAAACUUUAAACCACAGGGUACUAAAGUAAGAAAAUAUAAAAUCAUAGGGUAGUAUUUGAAGUUUACCUUUGUUAUUUUUGGCAUAUGCCUCUAUUUGAGGAGAUAGUCGAGUCCACCUACUAUACUAUCAAUAACACUAAGCGUCUGGUGCUAUCGAGUUUUUUGCCGUUAGAUUAUCUCUUUGACUAUUUUUAUCCGUUAGAUCAUACUAUUCAACCAACCAACCACCCACUCAAAUCUAGAGAACUACUAUCAUCCUAACUGCACAUUCCCUAAUUCAAGAGCCGAAAACCUACCAGCAUCAAUGACUUAGUACUAUUAAUAAUAUUCUAGUCUAGUUCGAGAAAGUCUACUAUACAUAUUUAUAUUUCAUUAUCAACAAUCGGUCAAUCACAUUAUUUUUUUUAGAAAAAAAGUAUAAUAAAAAUAUUUUUUUAAUAAUCAUAAUGUAACAGCUGAAUUCAAAAAAAAAUAUUUAAUUUGUUGGAGAUGCUAACUCAGCAAUAUAACUAGCCAGUGUUUGGAUUGGGGAUAAGGGGAGGGAUAACCUCUUAUCCCCCUUUAUACCCAAAUGCAAAUUUUUUACCCGAAAAUAGUAGUUCUCGGUUAUCUAAAAUAAUCUGGUAUAACUAUCUACAUCAACACCUCUAUUUUCUAUACAUAACUAUUUAUUAUUUUUCUUAUUCCAUAUUAUCUAUCCAAAGUCCAAACGUCAUUUUUUUUAUUUUCGGGAACAACCAAUUUUCAUCCAAACGCUAUUUUUUUUAUCCUCAUACUUGUACUUAUUUCUGUAAUAACUAGUUCUUUCUUAUACCUAAACCAGACGCUUGUACGCUACCCUAGUGUAUGCUAAAUUUUUUUUCCAUUUAAAGGUGAAGGCCCACCGAAGCCAUGAGGAUCCAACACAUAACCCACAUUAAAUGGAAUUAAGAGUUGGAUCCGGAUUUGUCGUAAGCAUCCGGAUCCGAGAUCGCCAUUUAUCCAAACGGACCAAACCCUAGUGUUUCGCCUUGGGACACAUCACACGUUGGCUCCUCCUGUUGGUUCGAACCUUUUGUAAUUUUCCUUCUUUGUAUUUUCCUUUUCACUCCCUCCUCUCGAGCACGCUUCAUACGCUUUGCUCGCGCGUAUACUCGUUCUCGUUCUUAGAUUCUCGAAGAAGAGGUAAUGCAUUUUCCCCAAAUCCUUCUUUUUGAUCCUUCUAACCGUUAAAAAAAAGAAAUACUUUGUCGCAAGAUUAUUCGAUUAGUCCCAAAGAUGGGGUUUUUGCUUUAUUAUUAUUAUUUUUUGCAUAUGCACGCUUAUUGUUUGAUGAAAUGCCUCUGAAGAUUCGUUUGUGUUCAUCUACUUGUUUUAGCUCUGCAUAUAAUGGUGGGGCUCUCGGAGGGGGAGAAGCAUUUCAUUCGCGGCGGGAUCGCGCAAGACCUUCGAUCGGACGGCCGUAAGAGGCUUCAGUUCCGGUCUAUCUCCGUCGAGACCGGAGUCAUCCCGCAGGUUGCAUCUUAUAUUCCAUCAAAAAAUUUGCUUAUUGGGUUAAAGUAUGAGAAUUUAUUUCAUUCUCUAUGUAUUCUUUGUGCUUGAAUUUCUGGGGCUUCAUGAUAGGCAAAUGGUUCGGCUCGUGUUAGGUUGGGUGCGACGGACGUCAUAGCUAGCAUUAAGGUACGAAUAUUUUGCUCUAAUAUUUGUUUAAGGCAUGUAUGUAUUCAGCAAGUAUUUAAGCGCCCAUCGACACUGAUUGUGUCUAUUGGUCAUAAUAUGCCGACAAAAUAUCGGUACGAUACCAUGGCACGGUUCAAAAUCAUUCUUUUUUUUUUUUUUUGAAAUUAGCAAGUAGUUACAUCAAUAAAAUGCAAAAAGAUAUGAUAAAGAUAUAUAAUAAUCAAUUAGAAUAUAUUGAUGCAAAAAAAAAAAAAAUUCAUAUCAUUGCGUGUCAGCAUAUAGGUAUUUUUGUGAAUGACACAUAUUAGCAUGGCAUGUCAUGCACCAUGCUAUGCUGUGCCACGACACUUAAAUCCUUGGUAUUUAGCUGAUAGAGAGUGCAUCAUUUUUGCUUUGGUGGUAUUGGAUUAGUGUUGCAUCUUGGCGACAAUUUGAAUAGUGGUUUUAUGAUUAGUCAAGUGCGGUUGCUGACUAUAUGUUCGUAAAAUUUGCAUACCUGUAAUGUCGACGUGGACGAGUAGGUUACACUGUAAACGGCAUAAGGAGAAUCAACUUUAUUUGUGAUGACUGUUGACAGUGUUGAUUAAGUUGAACAUAGGAAACAGUCUUAGAUGGUUUGAUUGCAUAAAAGAGAGCUUUGUAAUGGACUAAUAAGGAGGAAUAAUCAAAUUAACAGUUGAUGUUGCUACUAGGAGGGGAAGAUCAAAUAAGGUUUGGCCUGUUUGAAUAUAUAUAAGUCGUGAGAAAAGAUGCAACAGCUUUUAGACUUUUGGACAUAACCCUGAAAAUCAAGCUGAUUACUUGAACAUAGUCCGUGCAGGGAAAUCCACAUAUCAGGACUUGCAAAGCAAAAAACCUUAAUGCAAUGUAGGUUACAUAUUUGUGUCCUUUUUAUGUUAAUCUUUAAAAAUCAUUCACUGUAUCGUGCUAACUUUGUGUUUUACAGGCUGAACUUGGGAAGCCAAGCAUUCUCCGACCUGACAAAGGAAAAGUGUCUAUAUUUGUUGAUUGCAGCCCUACAGCAGCUCCUAUGUUUGAGGUUGGCCGACUGGGCUGCACAGUGUGUUCUUUUGCUUUAAGUGUAGAUUGAAAUUUCAUGUAUGUUUGGUCAUGUGCUUCUUGCUUCUCUUGUUUGCCUCCUUUUUGCAUAUUUUAUAAGAAGGAAUGUAACAUUUUCUUGUAUAAGUUCGGUGGUUGCCUUUUAGUGUUAGUUGUUAAAUAUAAUAUUUGUUCCUGGUGUUACUCGGUUACACUAUCUUCCUUAUUAGUUCAAACUUUGUGCAUCUUCUUAGGGCCGAGGUGGUGAAGAGUUAUCAAAUGACCUCUCUGUUGCACUUCAGAGAUGCUUACUUGGUGGUACGAGCGGGGCAGGUAUUAAACUUCAGAACAUCGCUGAGGAAGUUUAUUAUAAAAAAUAUAGAAUAAGAAUGGAUGUACGAUUAUUAUUUGGUUCCUUUAAUGUCAUAUUAAUGAUAGCGCUGCCAUGCAUUAAAGGCCAAAUUAUUGAGGUUUGCAUCCCUGAUUGGUGCCUAAUGAAAAGCAUUCCAAAUGUAUUGUUUCCUCCGGCAAAAAAAUUUUAUCUUCUCUCUGGCAAUUAAUAUGCUUGUGAAAUUAUGAUUAUUGAAAUAUGAGGGCCUCUUUUACAUGCCACUGAUUUAUAUUUGAAUAAUGAAUAUAUUACCUGCUUUGCUGUUUCUAGAGUAUAAAUAUAUAUCGUCAGCGCAUGACAGAGUUACUGCUUUUAUUGCUUAUUCUUGCAAUGAUUUUGGUGUUACUGCUUUCAUCACUUAUUCUUGCAAUGAUUUUCAAUGGAAUUCUAACUUGCAUCCACGGUAACAUGCCUUCGAUGCUGUCAUAUCAUUUUAAUGUUACCAUUUUGCAUCACUUGCUCUACGAAGUGCAUGGUAUGGAAGAAAUGAAAUGCUUACUCAUUGCUCUCAUGUUCUAAGACAACAUUUAUCUAACUUGUGGUUUGUUAUUUGACUUAAUUGAUUCAUUAUGGUUUUGGUUGGAUCUGAAUUCCAGGGGCUGGAAUUGAUCUCUCCUCUCUGAUUAUCGUUGACGGUAAAGUUUGCUGGGAUCUUUAUAUUGAUGGACUUGUCAUCAGUUCAGAUGGUAAUUUACUGGAUGCGUUAGCUGCUGCUAUUAAGGUAAUAAUUUUUGGAUUGGAUUGUCGUUACUUAAUUCAGU